CACACACACAGGACAUCUGCACAAUGGGAGGCAUCUCCCGGGUGGCCACCGUGGAGGCUGUGGCCUGUGGCCCCGGCUGGCGCCCAGCUGCCACACUUACGAUCAGCUCCAGGUCGCCUUCAGAGCCCGCGUAGUCUUCCAGCACCGUCGCCUCAAAGCCUAGGUCCUGGAUGAGCUGAGCGAUCUCCAGUGGCUGGAUGACGUCUGGGUGAUACUUCACCUCUGCCUUUCCGGCCAUCAGGGCAACCAGCACCGAGACGACGCCUGGAACCACGGGGCCCAGUUAGAACAGCGCAGGCAAGGCCUCUGGGGCGCAUCCAACAUAACCUAACAAAGACAAACAUCGGCCCCAGAAGCCUCCCGAUCAGGAGUUCUCAAACUUGACUGCACAUGAGGAUCACAGGGGGAGCUUUUACCACUCCCCAUGCUUGGCCCUAACCUCACACCAAAGUGGAAGAGAAAUCCUGGACUACAGACCAUCAGCUCCAACCGACAACAGUUUGGCUUACAACUUUUUGACUUUCUGAUGGUGCGAAAGUACAGCUUCAGGAGAAACGGACUCCAAACUUUGGGUGUGGGCCUUCUCCGGGGCUGGCGCGCUGCUGCACGGGGCUCCGUGGCGAUGCCAGGCAGCAGCUCAGGGCCUCGGCUCCCGCCCGGCUAUGCCAUCCUGAGGGUGAACGACUGAUGCACAUUCUGACACAGUUCAGGAGGUUGAAGCCUGACAGUACUGGUGACAGCUCCCGACGAGGCUACACUGGGGCCGGUGCUCCCAUCACGCCCUCCCCCCAACCAGAGGCAGAGGCACACAGUCGCAGACAUACGAAAAGAUGCCAAUACUCAAGAAUGGAACCUUCCAGUUGAAUGAGUGCUCUAAUUAGAUGAUGACAACAAGAAGAACUCAACAGGCCCUCUGCUAGCAUAUGGAUGAUCUCCUUGAAACAGCUCUCUGCGGUUCACAGGACUAUCAUCUCCAUCUUACAGAUUAAGAAAUGAGUUAAAGAAAUUUAAAAAUGUGCCCACGACCCCAGGUAGUAAGCAAUAAAGCUAGCUUCCAAACCAGGCCUCUUUACCCCCAGGAUCUGU